rnacentral:rRNA from 1 species
GAUGAACGCUGGCGGCGUGCCUAAUACAUGCAAGUCGAGCGAAUGGAUUAAGAGCUUGCUCUUAUGAAGUUAGCGGCGGACGGGUGAGUAGCACGUGGGUAACCUGCCCAUAAGACUGGGAUAACUCCGGGAAACCGGGGCUAAUACCGGAUAACAUUUUGAACCGAAUGGUUCGAAAUUGAAAGGCGGCUUCGGCUGUCACUUAUGGAUGGACCCGAGUCGCAUUAGCUAGUUGGUGAGGUAACGGCUCACCAAGGCAACGAUGCGUAGCCGACCUGAGAGGGUGAUCGGCCACACGGGGACUGAGACACGGCCCAGACUCCUACGGGAGGCAGCAGUAGGGAAUCUUCCGCAAUGGACGAAAGUCUGACGGAGCAACGCCGCGUGAGUGAUGAAGGCUUUCGGGUCGUAAAACUCUGUUGUUAGGGAAGAACAAGUGCUAGUUGAAUAAGCUGGCACCUUGACGGUACCUAACCAGAAAGCCACGGCUAACUACGUGCCAGCCGCCGCCGUAA